AACGAACGCUGGCGGCAUGCCUAACACAUGCAAGUCGAACGAAGCCUUCGGGCUUAGUGGCGCACGGGUGCGUAACGCGUGGGAAUCUGCCCCUUGCUUCGGAAUAACAGUUAGAAAUGACUGCUAAUACCGGAUGAAGUCUUCGGACCAAAGAUUUAUCGGCAAGGGAUGAGCCCGCGUAGGAUUCGGUAGUUGGUGGGGUAAAGGCCUACCAAGCCGACGAUCCUUAGCUGGUCUGAGAGGAUGAUCAGCCACACUGGGACUGAGACACGGCCCAGACUCCUACGGGAGGCAGCAGUGGGGAAUAUUGGACAAUGGACGCAAGUCUGAUCCAGCAAUGCCGCGUGAGUGAUGAAGGCCUUAGGGUUGUAAAGCUCUUUUAACAGGGAUGAUAAUGACAGUACCUAGAGAAUAAGCCCCGGCUAACUCCGUG
rnacentral:rRNA from 1 species